UCAGGUUACCCUUGAUCCUUCUUAGUUUAACCAAAUGAACUAAAAUUUUAAAAUGAUACGAUUUUUUGAAAAAUUAGUUCAUUUGUUUGAACUAAGAGGAUCAAAGGGUACCUGA
rfam:Brachypodium distachyon strain Bd21 chromosome 2, whole genome shotgun sequence.